rnacentral:snoRNA from 1 species
UGGGCCAAUGAUGAAUAGCAUGGGGUUUCUGAAACAAUUUUGAUUAAACCCGUCUGCAAUUCUGAGGGCCAU